rnacentral:rRNA from 1 species
UUGGCUAAGGGGAUCCACCUGUUCUCAUACCGAACACAGAAGUUAAGCCCUUAUACGCCGAAAAUACCUGGCUGGACACGGCCCGGAAAGAUAGGUAGCCGCCGGCU